rnacentral:rRNA from 1 species
UACAGAGGGUGCUAGCGUUGUUCGGAAUUACUGGGCGUAAAGGGCUCGUAGGCGGCCAACUAAGUCCGACGUGAAAUCCCCGGGCUUAACCUGGGAACUGCGUCUGAUACUGGAUGGCUUGAGUUCGGGAGAGGGAUGCGGAAUUCCAGGUGUAGCGGUGAAAUGACGUAGAUAUCUGGAGGAACACCGGUGGCGAAGGCGGCAUCCUGGACCGAUACUGACGCUGAGGAGCGAAAGCCAGGGGAGCAAACGGG